GCUGAUCUACUAUACACUGAUGAAGAAAACAAAUUCUAGAAACUUCUUGAUGUUUUGCAUCUACUUUGGAAGGAGAAUUCUAUUUGGCGAAAUCGAAACAUCUUUGAACCGAUGCGCAAAAAGAUAUGGCAAAUGGAAAAUUCAAUUUACUGAUGAGCAUCACAAAAAGUGAAUUCUUGGAUUCGAAAGAAGAAAAAUUCAAUUCACAAAUAAGUGAAAAUUUGUAUAUUUACAAAUGCGGAUUUUUGGAAAUCAUCAUCAUCAUCAGCAAAACAAGAGAAAUGGAAAAAAGGAUCUUUAAGAAUCUUCGUCUCGACUGGGACAAUAAUAUAAAGAAGCCUUGGAGUUUUUUUUUCGUGAAAAAUCGGAAACAACAUUAAACCUAUGGCUAUACAUUAUUUUGAGAAGAAAAAUCCUUUUUCAACCCAAGGAGAAAAAAUUUUCUGCAAUACAGAUGAGGUGCUUUUUCGAAUAAAUAUAUAUAUGGAACUAAAAAGGCUCUCAAGAACUCAUUUCAGGAUCUUCAUGUCAUAUUUUACAUUUGGAUGAUCUAUACUGCGAUUUACUUCACACGAGGAGGAAAUUUUCCACUAAUAGUCAAAAUGGAGAACUAUGUCAACAAAAAACCGCAUAGAAAAAAAGAAUAUAAGAUAUAAAUGGAAAAUAAAAGGAAAAAGGAAACAAAGCAGGAAAAAGGAUUUAAAUAUAUGGAUAAUAAAGGUCGAUUGAAGAUAAUUCUAAGAUAAUUCCUAUACUGCACCCGAGAGAGAGAGGACCUGACACUAUUAAUUUAUACCUACCUCUUAACAUUGCCAAUUUGGCAACCUGUUAACAACGGAAAACGUCGUACUCGUGCGAGUUUAUGAUGGUCAGCGAGCUUUGGUCAACCCGUUAGUCAUUUUGUGCAAUUAUUACUAUACAUAUAUAUAUAGUAAAACCGUGUUCGCUCUUUUAUAUGUAUUUGUAUCAGUGUUUGUGUAUAUGGACAUACAAAACGCUUGGGGCGUCGCUUUAAAACACUCUGCGCGCGAAGGACAACGACGACAACGACGACGACGACGACGGCAGUGAGGACGACAACGAUGACGAUACCGCGGUGACGACAGUAGGGAAUGGGAUAGUACGAUAGUAGGUGGGCUGUGGGUCGAAGGGAGGGCCGAGGGGUGUCUAUAAGCCAUUACGUGGG